CUCCAAAACGCAGAACCCUCAGACCCCUGUCGCUCCUCUCUCUUCUCUAUUUCUCUACCCUCUCCUUCCCAAAAACCCAACACUGAAAAUCAAUCUCACCAGGAAGCCAUCCCCAUGCUGUUUGGUCCGAAAUCGAAAGAAGGCAUCAUUGAUCUUUCCAUGGUGCUACUCACAAGGACCGAUCUCCACCUUUGAGCACUGACGAUAGCCAUCAAAAUUGGGCAGAUUACAUCAGAUGGUUGAAUUAGAACUUUGUUUCAGAAAAUUAGGAUCCGAAGACCCUCACACAGAUGAUGAAACCUUUGGAUUGGUGAUCUCUUCAAGCCUCACAAAACCUUGAUACAAUGCAAGGUUAGUUUUUCAAAGACCAAUUUAUCCGAAGAUUAAAUACACAUAAAAACCACAUUGAACAGGUUAAAAUGUACCCACAAAGUAGUAUAACAAGUGUUGAGGUGCAAAUUAACACAAAAUAUCCUGGAAAAACUUGCAAGAUCAAAUAAUAAGGUGCUAUUUGGUUAGAAAAAUGUUGUAUUCAAUUUUCAUCUUCAUUUUUGUGUUUUCAUUUUUUGAAUAUGAAUGCACAAUAAAGGACCCAUUUUCACAUUCAUUUUCUAUACAUACCAGCUAACCUUUGAGCUCUCUCUCCGCUUUGUUUUAGGUCCUUCUGCUUCCCCUUUCUCUCUUUAUUCCUCAAACCUCUCCCUUACAAGCCAUCCCCAUUCGCUCAUAGGUUACACUUACAUCAUUAGUUGAAGGAGUGGUGUUCCUUUGCAAAGCAGCCAACAAAUAUAAAGUUAUCAACUUCAUUUUCUUUUGUUCUUCCAUGAAGAUGAGGGUGAUGCAUGUUCACAAAGCUUGAUAUGCAGGUUUGAAGAAAAGAGAUGACUAUAUGAGAUUGUAGAAGGAGAAUGUUUGGAUCUAGAUUGUCAUAGCAUUGAGCAACCUUGAUAGCUAUUGCGGUUGCUAUUGACUUCUAUGUAAAUUAAAUGCCUACAACAAAUAGAGAUGUGGCAAUAGUGUUUAUUGGAAUUCUUUUGACAGUAUUUGAUCUACAAAAUACAUUAGAGUGAAAAGUGAAUUUAUGUAGUGAGACUGAUUUACAAUUACUAUGAAGUGUGUUUUCAUUGUUUCAAAAUUGAAUUUGGAUUUUGACUUUGAGCCAAGUAAACAUACAAAGGUUGCAAUCCUUUGCAAAUA